rnacentral:rRNA from 1 species
AAGCAUAUCAAUAAGCGGAGGAAAAGAAACCCACAGGGAUUGCCCUAGUAACGGCGAGUGAAGCGGCAACAGCUCAAAUUUGAAAUCUGGCGCAAGCCCGAGUUGUAAUUUGUAGAGGAUGCUUCUGGGUAGCGACCGGUCUAAGUUCCUUGGAACAGGACGUCAUAGAGGGUGAGAAUCCCGUAUGUGACCGGCCCGCACCCUUUACGUAGCUCCUUCGACGAGUCGAGUUGUUUGGGAAUGCAGCUCUAAAUGGGAGGUAAAUUUCUUCUAAAGCUAAAUACCGGCCAGAGACCGAUAGCGCACAAGUAGAGUGAUCGAAAGAUGAAAAGUACUUUGGAAAGAGAGUUAAAAAGCACGUGAAAUUGUUGAAAGGGAAGCGCCUGCAAUCAGACUUCGCGGCAGUGUUCCGCCGGUCUUCUGACCGGUUUAUUCUCUGUCGCGAGGCCAUCAUCGUCUCGGCCCGCAGGAUAAGACCUUGGGAAUGUAGCUCACCUUCGGGGGAGUGUUAUAGCUCAUGGUGAUGCAGCGAGGCUGGGGCGAGGUCCGCGCUUCGGCAAGGAUGAUGGCGUAAUGGUUGUCGGCGGCCCGUCUUGAAACACGGACCAAGGAGUCUAACAUCUAUGCGAGUGUUCGGGUGUCAAACCCCUACGCGUAAUGAAAGUGAACGGAGGUGGGAACCGCAAGGUGCACCAUCGACCGAUCCUGAUGUCCUCGGAUGGAUUUGAGUAAGAGCAUAGCUGUUGGGACCCGAAAGAUGGUGAACUAUGCCUGAAUAGGGUGAAGCCAGAGGAAACUCUGGUGGAGGCUCGCAGCGGUUCUGACGUGCAAAUCGAUCGUCAAAUUUGGGUAUAGGG